GCCCCGGUAGCUCAAGCGGAAAGAGCCCGUGCUUCGCAUGCCGGAGGUUGUGGGUUCGAGUCCCACUCGGGGCA
rnacentral:tRNA from 1 species